GUGGCGGAAUGCCGAAGAACCAUCUGCUCCGGAAAGGAAAGCAGCUUUUAUCAGGGGACCUUUAAUCAAUAGAAACAAUUAGUACUAGGGUACUUCCUAUAUACAGUACAUCUUCCAAUGUGUCAUAAGAAAAACUAUUAUAGGAACCAUUAAUAGAGUGACAGAAGAGAUUUUAGGCAAAUAAAAAUGGGGAAAAAGUAGAGGCCCUACACAUGAGCCUUGGGGUACUCCACUCUCAAUGAUUACAAAACCUUACUGGUCGAUGUGGUCAGUGGUAAGUCCGGUCCUAGAAAGCCGCUGUCCUACUUGUUUUCGAAGUUUUCCUUCUUCACACACCUGAUUGAAAUGAUCAGAUUCGUUAUCAAGCUUGCUGAUUAUUUGAAUCAGGUCUGCUCCAGCAGGGAGACCUGAAAAACAGUCAGGACAGCGUCUCCCUAGGACCGGACUUGGUCUAUGGGAUAGACCAACAGAUCAAUUCCUUACCUCUGGACGAUGUCGCUCGUCUUGUCAGGCCGCCGACUUUUCAUAGCACUCUAAGAAACGAGAGAGUAGAAUGAAAAAUUGAGACUGACUCAGGUGCUGAAAGCAGAGCACGCAGGUUUUCUCACUGCCUGUUCUUGUUGCUAGGAAACGUCUUGUAACGAACAUGCAGCCUUUUCUAAUCGCUAAAGCUUAUUAAGCUUCUUUCUACGCACUGCCUGAUUAUAUGCCCGUGAUGUUUAUGUGUUUUGGUGCCUUGAUGAAAGGUUACGCAAUCAAUGCCAAGUCAGGGUUAUAUUAUGUACGUGUGUCUUUGACGUUUUGGAGACCUUACUUGAUUUGGGGUCCCCAUAACGUCUAUCUUAUAUUGAGCGGGUUAGGAAGUCAUCAGUGGUAAGCACUUGUGACGUCUUUUUCCCUGACAAUUGAUGCUCUGUAAUACCCUUGAUGAUGCUCUCGUCCACUUGAGUAUUAAUAAUGUCAAGCCAGUGCCGCCUACGUGGAGAGCAGAACGAAAAAAAAA